ACGGGUGAGUAACGCGUGGGAAUCUACCUUUUGCUACGGAAUAACUCAGGGAAACUUGUGCUAAUACCGUAUGUGCCCUUCGGGGGAAAGAUUUAUCGGCAAGAGAUGAGCCCGCGUUGGAUUAGCUAGUUGGUGGGGUAAAGGCCUACCAAGGCGACGAUCCAUAGCUGGUCUGAGAGGAUGAUCAGCCACACUGGGACUGAGACACGGCCCAGACUCCUACGGGAGGCAGCAGUGGGGAAUAUUGGACAAUGGGCGCAAGCCUGAUCCAGCCAUGCCGCGUGAGUGAUGACGGUCUUAGGAUUGUAAAGCUCUUUCACCGGUGAAGAUAAUGACGGUAACCGGAGAAGAAGCCCCGGCUAACUUCGUGCCAGCAGCCGCGGUAAUACGAAGGGGGCUAGCGUUGUUCGGAUUUACUGGGCAUAAAGCGCACGUAGGCGGACUUUUAAGUCAGGGGUGAAAUCCCAGAGCUCAACUCUGGAACUGCCUUUGAUACUGGAAGUCUUGAGUAUGGUAGAGGUGAGCGGAAUUCCGAGU
rnacentral:rRNA from 1 species